GCAAGUAUGCUGGAAUUGGUAAACAGGUCUUUUUUAAGCUAAGAUGUCUUAUGGCUUUAGGGUUCAAAUCCCUAUACUUGUA
rnacentral:tRNA from 1 species